rnacentral:rRNA from 1 species
AGUUUGAUUCUGGCUCAGGACGAACGCUGGCGGCGUGCCUAAUACAUGCAAGUAGAACGCUGAAGGAGGAGCUUGCUCUUCUGGAUGAGUUGCGAACGGGUGAGUAACGCGUAGGUAACCUGCCUGGUAGCGGGGGAUAACUAUUGGAAACGAUAGCUAAUACCGCAUAAUAGUAGAUGUCGCAUGACAUUUGCUUAAAAGGUGCAAUUGCAUCACUACCAGAUGGACCUGCGUUGUAUUAGCUAGUUGGUGGGGUAACGGCUCACCAAGGCGACGAUACAUAGCCGACCUGAGAGGGUGAUCGGCCACACUGGGACUGAGACACGGCCCAGACUCCUACGGGAGGCAGCAGUAGGGAAUCUUCGGCAAUGGACGGAAGUCUGACCGAGCAACGCCGCGUGAGUGAAGAAGGUUUUCGGAUCGUAAAGCUCUGUUGUAAGAGAAGAACGAGUGUGAGAGUGGAAAGUUCACACUGUGACGGUAUCUUACCAGAAAGGGACGGCUAACUACGUGCCAGCAGCCGCGGUAAUACGUAGGUCCCGAGCGUUGUCCGGAUUUAUUGGGCGUAAAGCGAGCGCAGGCGGUUAGAUAAGUCUGAAGUUAAAGGCUGUGGCUUAACCAUAGUACGCUUUGGAAACUGUUUAACUUGAGUGCAAGAAGGGAGAGUGGAAUUCCAUGUGUAGCGGUGAAAUGCGUAGAUAUAUGGAGGAACACCGUGGCGAAAGCGGCUCUCUGGCUGUAACUGACGCUGAAGCUCGAAGCGUGGGGAGCAAACAGAUAGAUACCUGUAGUCCACGCCGUAAACGAUGAGUGCUAGUGUAGACCCUUCCGGGUUAGUGCGCAGCUAACGCAUUAGCACUCCGCCUGGGAGUACGACCGCAAGUGAACUCAAGAUGACCGGCCCACAGCGGUGGGCAUUGUAAUCGAGCACCGAGACUUACAGCUGACUCCCUGACGCAGAUAGCUCUCGACAGGACGUGGCAUGUGCUCAGCUGUGAGUUGUAGUCGACAGCACUACUUGCAGAUUCGACGAGAUCGGGUUAACGAUGGGGAUCUCCCAGAUCUGCCCUCU